rnacentral:snRNA from 1 species
GUGCUUGCUUUGGCAGCACAUCUACUAAAAUUGGAACGAUAUAGAGAAGAUUAGCAUGGCCCCUGCACAAGGAUGACAUGCAAAUUCAUGAAGCGUUCCAUAUUUUU